UACGUAGUGUGCAAGCGUUGUCCGGAAUUAUUGGGCGUAAAGAGCUCGUAGGCGGUCUGUUGCGUCGGCUGUGAAAACCCGGGGCUCAACUCCGGGCCUGCAGCCGAUACGGGCAGACUAGAGUUCGGCAGGGGAGACUGGAAUUCCUGGUGUAGCGGUGAAAUGCGCAGAUAUCAGGAAGAACACCCGUGGCGAAAGCGGCUCUCUGGAACGGUACUGACGCUGAGACGCGAAAGCGUGGGGAGCGAACAGG
rnacentral:rRNA from 1 species